rnacentral:rRNA from 1 species
CACCGCGGUUAUACGAGGGGCCCAAAUUGAUACACCACCGGCGUAAAGUGUGAUUAAAGACACCUACAUAAUAAAGCCAAAUAUUCCUUGUGCUGUUAUACGCUAAUGGGACCUAAGAAGCCCAACCACGAAAGUGGCUUUAUAUUACUUGAACUCACGACAGCCAGAACA